rnacentral:tRNA from 1 species
GCCCGGGUGGCGGAAUUUGGCAGACGCGCUAGCUUGAGGGGCUAGUGACCUUAGGGUCGUGCUGGUUCGACUCCAGUCCCGGGCA